rnacentral:rRNA from 1 species
GAUUAGGACUAAGUCGUAACAAGGUAGCCGUACCGGAAGGUGCGGCUGGAUCACCUCCUUUCUAAGGAGCA